UUAAGCGACUAAGCGUACACGGUGGAUGCCCUGGCAGUCAGAGGCGAUGAAGGACGUGCUAAUCUGCGAAAAGCGUCGGUAAGGUGAUAUGAACCGUUAUAACCGGCGAUGUCCGAAUGGGGAAACCCAGUGCAAUUCGUUGCACUAUCGUUAACUGAAUACAUAGGUUAACGAGGCGAACCGGGGGAACUGAAACAUCUAAGUACCCCGAGGAAAAGAAAUCAACCGAGAUUCCCCCAGUAGCGGCGAGCGAACGGGGAGCAGCCCAGAGUCUGAAUCAGCUUGUGUGUUAGUGGAACGGUCUGGAAAGUCCGACGGUACAGGGUGAUAGUCCCGUACACCAAAAUGCACAGGCUGUGAACUCGAAGAGUAGGGCGGGACACGUGGUAUCCUGUCUGAAUAUGGGGGGACCAUCCUCCAAGGCUAAAUACUCCUGACUGACCGAUAGUGAACCAGUACCGUGAGGGAAAGGCGAAAAGAACCCCGGCGAGGGGAGUGAAAAAGAACCUGAAACCGUGUACGUACAAGCAGUGGGAGCACCUUCGGGUGUGACUGCGUACCUUUUGUAUAAUGGGUCAGCGACUUAUAUUCUGUAGCAAGGUUAACUGUAUAGGGGAGCCGCAGGGAAACCGAGUCUUAACUGGGCGUUAAGUUGCAGGGUAUAGACCCGAAACCCGGUGAUCUAGCCAUGGGCAGGUUGAAGGUUGGGUAACACUAACUGGAGGACCGAACCGACUAAUGUUGAAAAAUUAGCGGAUGACUUGUGGCUGGGGGUGAAAGGCCAAUCAAACCGGGAGAUAGCUGGUUCUCCCCGAAAGCUAUUUAGGUAGCGCCUCGUGAAUUCAUCUUCGGGGGUAGAGCACUGUUUCGGCUAGGGGGUCAUCCCGACUUACCAACCCGAUGCAAACUACGAAUACCGAAGAAUGUUAUCACGGGAGACACACGGCGGGUGCUAACGUCCGUCGUGAAGAGGGAAACAACCCAGACCGCCAGCUAAGGUCCCAAAGUCAUGGUUAAGUGGGAAACGAUGUGGGAAGGCACAGACAGCCAGGAUGUUGGCUUAGAAGCAGCCAUCAUUUAAAGAAAGCGUAAUAGCUCACUGGUCGAGUCGGCCUGCGCGGAAGAUGUAACGGGGCUAAACCAUGCACCGAAGCUGCGGCAGCGACACUAUGUGUUGUUGGGUAGGGGAGCGUUCUGUAAGCCUGCGAAGGUGGCCUGUGAGGGUUGCUGGAGGUAUCAGAAGUGCGAAUGCUGACAUAAGUAACGAUAAAGCGGGUGAAAAGCCCGCUCGCCGGAAGACCAAGGGUUCCUGUCCAACGUUAAUCGGGGCAGGGUGAGUCGACCCCUAAGGCGAGGCCGAAAGGCGUAGUCGAUGGGAAACAGGUUAAUAUUCCUGUACUUGGUGUUACUGCGAAGGGGGGACGGAGAAGGCUAUGUUAGCCGGGCGACGGUUGUCCCGGUUUAAGCAUGUAGGCUGGUUGUCCAGGCAAAUCCGGAUAAUCAAGGCUGAGGUGUGAUGACGAGGCACUACGGUGCUGAAGUAACAAAUGCCCUGCUUCCAGGAAAAGCCUCUAAGCAUCAGGUAACAUCAAAUCGUACCCCAAACCGACACAGGUGGUCAGGUAGAGAAUACCAAGGCGCUUGAGAGAACUCGGGUGAAGGAACUAGGCAAAAUGGUGCCGUAACUUCGGGAGAAGGCACGCUGGUGUGUAGGUGAAGUCCCUGCGGAUGGAGCUGAGACCAGUCGAAGAUACCAGCUGGCUGCAACUGUUUAUUAAAAACACAGCACUGUGCAAACACGAAAGUGGACGUAUACGGUGUGACGCCUGCCCGGUGCCGGAAGGUUAAUUGAUGGGGUUAUCCGUAAGGAGAAGCUCUUGAUCGAAGCCCCGGUAAACGGCGGCCGUAACUAUAACGGUCCUAAGGUAGCGAAAUUCCUUGUCGGGUAAGUUCCGACCUGCACGAAUGGCGUAAUGAUGGCCAGGCUGUCUCCACCCGAGACUCAGUGAAAUUGAACUCGCUGUGAAGAUGCAGUGUACCCGCGGCAAGACGGAAAGACCCCGUGAACCUUUACUAUAGCUUGACACUGAACAUUGAGCCUUGAUGUGUAGGAUAGGUGGGAGGCUUUGAAGCGUGGACGCCAGUCUGCGUGGAGCCAACCUUGAAAUACCACCCUUUAAUGUUUGAUGUUCUAACGUUGGCCCCUGACCGGGGUUGCGGACAGUGUCUGGUGGGUAGUUUGACUGGGGCGGUCUCCUCCCAAAGCGUAACGGAGGAGCACGAAGGUUAGCUAAUCCUGGUCGGACAUCAGGAGGUUAGUGCAAUGGCAUAAGCUAGCUUGACUGCGAGCGUGACGGCGCGAGCAGGUGCGAAAGCAGGUCAUAGUGAUCCGGUGGUUCUGAAUGGAAGGGCCAUCGCUCAACGGAUAAAAGGUACUCCGGGGAUAACAGGCUGAUACCGCCCAAGAGUUCAUAUCGACGGCGGUGUUUGGCACCUCGAUGUCGGCUCAUCACAUCCUGGGGCUGAAGUAGGUCCCAAGGGUAUGGCUGUUCGCCAUUUAAAGUGGUACGCGAGCUGGGUUUAGAACGUCGUGAGACAGUUCGGUCCCUAUCUGCCGUGGGCGCUGGAGAAUUGAGGGGGGCUGCUCCUAGUACGAGAGGACCGGAGUGGACGCAUCACUGGUGUUCGGGUUGUCAUGCCAAUGGCACUGCCCGGUAGCUAAAUGCGGAAGAGAUAAGUGCUGAAAGCAUCUAAGCACGAAACUUGCCCCGAGAUGAGUUCUCCCUGAGACUUUAAGUCUCCUGAAGGAACGUUAAAGACGAUGACGUUGAUAGGCCGGGUGUGUAAGCGCAGCGAUGCGUUGAGCUAACCGGUACUAAUGAACCGUGAGGCUUAACCUU
rnacentral:rRNA from 1 species